AUGAACUGUUGUUUAAUUCUGCACCUUUUACCUGGGCAGAGAAGGGACGAUUUGUACACCUGUAUUUUGCACUUUCUCUCAUCUCUGCUAAUGUCAUUUUCUUAUAAAUGUAGAUUUACUUAUAGUUUUUUUUUAAUCCAGCUGCGCAUGUACACUUAGUUAAAGCUUCACCCAAUGCUUAAUGUAACGUAAUUAAAUAUGCGGCUUGCGCGUUCUUUUCAAAAUUUUAUUUUUAAAAGAGAUAUAUCCACAUUUAUAUAUCUCUCCAAAUCUGUGUGCCAAGUAUAGCAUUUCUACGUUGGCUUGUUCUUCCCCCAUCCCUCACCUCGUCCCGGAGAUUCAAAGAUUGCCUUGAGCACCGUGCAGUUUUCUUUUAAACAGCCGCCUGGUUGCAGAAUGUGUCUGGAUGGUCAAGCCCUGGUGGGAGAAACUGAUCGUGCAUCUGGAGCUUGGAACAAAAACAGACAUUGCUGGAAAAGCUCAGCAGGUCUGGCAGCGUCUGUGAAGAAUAAAUCAGAGUUAACGUUUCGGGUCCGGUGACCCUUCCUCAGAAUUUGAGGCUUGGAAACCCGUUGGACCGAGGAAAGUGAUCACAAUCUCCAGAUGUGUUCACGAGUAUUUCAUUGAUGUGGCCCAUCCAGCGAGGAGGCGUUGCUGUAUCAGGUUCUGUGAAAUGAUGUGCGUUAACUGGAUCAAAUGUCAGGAGAGAAACUUUUAGGAUCAGGGCAUUGCUGGCUAGGCAGCAUUUAUUGCUGAUCCCUAAUUGCCCA